ensembl:lincRNA Gm26526 predicted gene, 26526
CAUUGACUUAACCCUUGUGGAAUAUAGCACUUCUAAACUAAAAACACACAUCAAAAGAAAGGUUAGUCCAGUGGGACAUUCAAAAUGUCUUCAGGUCUUACGAUUGGCUACUUCUACUGUUCUGGUUUUGUCAAAAAGAAUACAGAGCAGAGCUGCUGUCUACACUGUCUCCAAAUUCCCUCCAGAGUCAGGUCUGAAACUGCUGGGCACACUGGAUGGCAUUUAGCCGGCAGCAUGGGCCAGGCACCUCAAGCCAUCUGACUGGCUGUUACCUUGGAGGGUCAAAGUGUCCCCUCAACCUGCCUCCGUAACAAUUCUCGAAAGUAGUUCUUCCCCACCUCCGGCCACUUUGGUACAAAAACUUCCGUUUGUUUCAGCUGUUACCCAUUGCAAAUUUAGGAUGUUCUGGGUCUCAGACGCCCAAUCUACCCACUCCCGUAAGCAGUUGGCAGCUUCCAGGAGAACUAAGGCUGGAGGUCAAGGGUCGCACAGGGGCUCAAGCAAUGGGGCCAGUCUUCCUCCACCUGAUGGUCCACUGAGCCUUGUCCAGGGAGGAGACUGUCCCUUGGUAGGUGAAAAUUAAAUCUGUAACCUGUCUAGGUACAAUUCACACAAAUUAAGAAAAAAGAAACACAAAACAAAAAACCAAAACCGCGUCCAGUUUCACAGCUCAGUCCAGGCAAUGGAUCAACAGGCCCCGUGCUAGGAUCAGAUGUCACUCUUGUGUCUUCAUUCCCGUCUCCUCCAGUCCUGCUCGCUCAAUAAUUCCUGCUGGAUGACAAGCUGUACCCCCAAAAGACAUGGGUUCAGGAAAUGCUCCCCAAAUGUUCUCCAAGGCAAAACCAAGGUGGCUGCAGGUCUGGUAGCAAGGAGGGCAGGAGUCUACCUAGAAAAAUGCACUUAAAUCCGAGUCAAAAAAAAAAAAUCAAAAGCCCUAAGUCUCACUCAACUCGCUGCAUCUUGCUGCUCCUCACCAAGGACCACUCAGGACUAGGGAGCAGCUGGCAAGGACGGAGCAGCCUCACAGGCUCUCAAAGCACGCGUCUCAACCCCUUCCUUCCCACUCUGGAAAAGCACUGUUCUAUCUUCAUCCAAGAGCUGGUAGAUUUGGUUUGUUUCUUUGGAACCAUCAAUAAAAAGAAGCAAACUUUUCCUGUUUUCCUCAUGUUUACCUAUGAGAGUGGCAAUCUCUUGACAGUUCAGUAGCACACAGGCUGACUUGGCCAAAUGGACUUAUGAAUGCAUGCAUUCGGACUGCAUAUUGCUACCAAAAUGGAAUGUGGGAAUAUGCUAUGCACCUCAGGUUGAGAAAUGACCAAGAAAUCAAGAUCUAAAGGGUGAUAUAUAAUAUAUAUAUAUCAAUGCUAUUAUUCAUAAAAACCUUGUUUAGUAAUAAAAAAAUUGCUUUGUUUAAAUAUGAAUAUUAGAGUCUGCUUCUCAUGGUUAGGAAAUAAUAGUCUUUCUGAAAAGCAGAUGCCUUUUCUACUACAACUCCAUGUCCUGGGCCUCAUCUUCUGAGAAGUCAGACAUAGAACUCUCCGAUGAGCUGUCGCCAGUGCCCUCUUCCUGUUCCUUCAGGGCCUCUUCCGUUGCGUACUUCUGGAUGGACUUUUUUNNNNNNNNNNNNNNNNNNNNNNNNNNNNNNAUGGCUGCAGCGUCACCAUUGAGAGGAUCUAUGGGGUUAGGAUAGGCCAGCAACUGGGGCAGGAAGGACUCAAAUAUAUUGGUAAGAUCAUAGAGAGCUGUCCAAGUUUGAUUAAUUACAUCUAGACACACAGUUCCUGACGCUUCAUCAAUGUUGGGAUGGAAAAUUUUAUUCAUGAAUCCUAUAGAUGGAGACUUGAAAGGGUAUUUAUCAGGAAGGUCCACUCUCACUUUCCACACCCCGCCUUCAUAUGGUGUUUCUUGUGGUCCGUAAAACUUGACAACGAAUUCAUUGAGUCCUCCUAGGAUUGUAACCUCAUGUUUGCUUUCAAUGAGCUUGACUACGUCCGUGUCCAUCCGCCUCUUGCCGGGACUGGGGGAUGACAUGGUGUCGCCGCUGCCGCUGCCUCCCGGUCGCCUGCGCCGCCGCCGCCUCUCUCCCCUCCUUGGCCCGUCUGUCACGGGCUCCGGGCCCAGCUCGCAGGGCCCCGCGGCCUCGCCGGCUCCUCGGCCGAGGUGGCAACACCCACGCGGUCCCGUGGGGUCCGCUCAGCCGCCGCCCCCCGCACGGGGGAACACCGGGCACUGCCCCGCCGAGUGGGGACGGGGACCGAGGCGCCCGCUAGGGCUGCCCUCCGACUGAGGCUCCGCCGCGGCCCGGGCUGCCGCUGCUCCGCGCCGUGCGCCGCUCCCUCCCGCCUGCGCUAGCUCGUUCGCCUGCCAGCCCGCUCGCUCACGCUCUCGCCAGCUCCCAGCUGCUUCCUCCACAAGCCGACGACUCCAGCUCGGUCGACCUCUCU